rnacentral:rRNA from 1 species
UACAGGGGGUGCAAACGUUGCUCGGAAUUAUUGGGCGUAAAGGGCGCGUAGGCGGCCUGUUAAGUCGAACGUGAAAUCCCCGGGCUCAACCUGGGAACUGCGUCUGAUACUGGAAGGCUCGAGUUCGGGAGAGGAAUGUGGAAUUCCAGGUGUAGCGGUGAAAUGCGUAGAUAUCUGGAGGAACACCGGUGGCGAAGGCGGCAUUCUGGACCGAAACUGACGCUGAGGCGCGAAAGCCAGGGAAGCAAACGGG